GGGGCUGUAGCUUAGUGGCAGAGCACUUGCCUUGCACGUAUGAGACACUAGGUUCAAUCCUCAGUGCCA
rfam:Ictidomys tridecemlineatus contig065675, whole genome shotgun sequence.